GGGGGGUUAGCUCAGCUGGGAGAGCAUCUGCCCUACAAGCAGAGGGUCAUAGGUUCGAGCCCUAUACCCCCCACCA
rnacentral:tRNA from 1 species